GUAGGAUGUCGCUCCUGUUGUUCACCAGGUCCAGGGCCAUCUGGGCGGAGGGCAUACACGCCUGACCGCCGGGCCAGCCUCCGCUCAUGGGGAACAGCGCUCCGAUGUACAGCUUCUUCUUGCCUGCGGACGGCCGUGGCCAGAGGAGGAGAAGCGCGAUGAGAGAUGCCCGAAAGAGGAACAUCGCAUGCCCGCGGGCUGCGCGAGUUACCCGCGGAGGACUUCUGCAAAUCACCAGCAUGGUUCAAGGAUGAAGCCGGCAUGGCAGCUGUAAUGGAGCACUGUCCCCUCCACUGGUGGCCCGGGGGGCUUUACCGUCACCCGGCCGUUCUCCAGGGAGGUCCACACCCGCGGGCACAGCAGCACUGGGAACGAGAAGAAGCACAAAAGGCCGUGAGCACCCACGGAGGAAAAUAUAAGUGAGAUUGACCCUUGGAUGUCUGAGGGAGCGGGUGAACACCGAUUGUCAUUCCAGAGGUGUUUUGUACUGUGUAGGUGUAACGUUAGGCUGGAUCUGUUUUUUAAAUAAACAUUCAUGUUGAAAUAAAUAUACCUUUAGUUAUGUCUCCUGUUGUAUCGGAUGGGUCUAUUUGAAUAUAUUCAAACCUGUAUUUUUUUGGGAUAUCAAGUGUCAAUUUUGGCCGAUUUUGACAUCCCUAACUAUUUAAAAGCUGCGAGUAACUUCUUUGUCUGAGGUCAUAAGUUACGUUUAUCAUUGUGACAUAUGUCCAGGACAAGUAAGAAUCAGAUUUCCCAUUUUAAACCCAUCCUAUCAGGAGCGGUAGGCAGCCACUGUUACUCAAGUACUACAACACAGACACAAUAAAGAAAGUCUACUGCUCUAGGAACCCCUUUUGACAAAUAGUUUAGUAUUCAGUUACUGGUAAGCAAGGCUACACUUUAUCCCACAUUUGUGAUAA